CCCGCUGAACUUAAGCAUAUCAAUAAGCGGAGGAAAAGAAACUAACAAGGAUUCCCCUAGUAACUGCGAGUGAAGCGGGAAAAGCUCAAAUUUAAAAUCUGGCGGUCUCGCGGCCGUCCGAGUUGUAAUCUGGAGAAGCGUUUUCCGCGUCGGACCGUGUACAAGUCUUCUGGAACGGAGCGUCGUAGAGGGUGAGAAUCCCGUCUCUGACACGGACAGCCGAUGCUUCAUGUGAUACGCUCUCGAAGAGUCGAGUUGUUUGGGAAUGCAGCUCAAAAUGGGUGGUAAAUUCCAUCUAAAGCUAAAUAUUGGCGAGAGACCGAUAGCGAACAAGUACCGUGAGGGAAAGAUGAAAAGCACUUUGGAAAGAGAGUUAAACAGUACGUGAAAUUGUUGAAAGGGAAACGUUUGAAGUCAGUCGCGUUGGCCAGAAAUCAACUUGUAACAGGGCGUAAUUUCUGGUUUUACGGGUCAACAUCAAUUUUGAUUGUUGGAUAAAAGUCAAUAUUUAUGCGUUUUCGGACGUGUAGCCUUUGAUUGCAUACAAUGGUUGGGAUUGAGGAACUCAGCACGCCGCAAGGCCGGGUAACUUGUUACCACGUAACGUGCUUAGGAUGUUGGCAUAAUGGCUUUAAUCGACCCGUCUUGAAACACGG
rnacentral:rRNA from 1 species